GUUCUCCACGCAAAACUCCUCGACAAAGUAGCCGAGCAAGAAACAGAUAUUACAGGCGUUUUAGUUUCUCGUGUGUAUAUCGCUUGCUACCUUGACGUCUUUAAAUUACUAUAAUGUAUUAAGUUACCCUCUGCCUUUGUAGAUAACUAGGUCUCUCCGUCGACUAGAAGCAAGGAUGGUUCUGUGCUAUGUAACGUUACCGGAUUGUAACCACUACUCCAAUAAGCACAUGUACAUGUUAUCGUUUUCCAACCUCAGAGGCAUCGCUAUAGAGCUGUGUGAUAAGAUGGACGGACCGGAAACCCAGUGACAACACUCAAGUCUGUAACUGCCAUUUUCCAGUGGGAAAGAGAUGGCGCUGUAUUUACCAGAGUAGGUAGUUCAUCCAUCAUGGUGAAUGAGGAAGAUCCAGACGGUGUAUUGGGAAACAACAACAGACAAAUAGGAUUGAGUGUCCAACAGGAGUGAAUCCCUCAGGCUAUCCGGUGCAUGGACAUCCUGCGGCAGUGUGAUCCGGUUGUGGAGACGACAGCAGAUUGAGCCUGUGGACAGACAGAUGCAUCAACAUUUGGACUUUGUCCCCUUUUCCUGGUGUUGUGGAACAUCAUGCGCUCACCAUGAGAAGCAGUGCAUGAUCAACACCAGCCUCAGCAAGGAGAUGUGACACGGGGCACAUCAGGCACUCACCAUGAGAAGCAGUGCAUGAUCAACACCAGCCUCAGCAAGGAGAUGUGACACGUGGAACAUCAGGCGCUCACCAUGAGAAGCAGUGCAUGAUCAACACCAGCCUCAGCAAGGAGAUGUGACACGUGGAACAUCAGGCGCUCACCAUGAGAAGCAGUGCAUGAUCAACACCAGCCUCAGCAAGGAGAUGUGACACGUGGAACAUCAGGCGCUCACCAUGAGAAGCAGUGCAUGAUCAACACCAGCCUCAGCAAGGAGAUCUUGUCACAGCUGUUGGAGGAGGACCAAGGUGCAACGUGCCAGGAUGCCUACAUGCCCCAGGUGCCCUUGUUUUUUAAACAAUAUCAGGCACAGACAGGGAUGACGGGGAGGGUAGCGAUAGUUCUGGCUCAGGUUCAACAAGACAUACCAUUCCAUUGAACCUGCCCCGGUGAUGGUUCCUUACCCACUAACGAUCUCGUGACAGACGGUUGUAGUCUUUGGCCAGGUAAAGUUCCAUUGACUGCACCUGGUUGGGCACGGCUGGCUUCCUCCAUUCCCAUUCUACAUCCGUAUGGCCGAUAUUGUGAACUGCUAAAAAGGCUGCAUGGCUCCACUUUUGAGCUCCAUGGAGCCAUUCGUAUGUGGUAGAGAGAAUGAUUGAUUACAUUAUAGCUGUAGUAUAUAUAUUUACAUUUACAACUUGGGAUUUUAUUAUUUAACAUACCCAAUCAUUUAAUGGGAAGGAUCCUAUAAAUCAAGACUGAAUGCAUGUAUCACUGAAUAACUAAAUACUGUGUCUUUGAAGAUUUCUCUCUGGUAAAUUACAAUACAGACUGGAUGUCUAAACUAAGUCUAAACUAAGUACAUAUAUAUUUUAGAUUCAUUCUCAUCAAUGGCAACAUUCUAGAACUGAGUUUUCAUUCAUCGAAGUCUGUUAUCCAGGGUGAUCUGGUUAAUGAUUAUAUCAUUGUGCUUCCACACCUGCAUUGCUUGCUGUUUGGGGUUUUAGGCUGGGUUUCUGUACAGUACUUUGAGAUAUCAGCUGAUGUACGAAGGGCUAUAUAAAUACAUUUGAUUUAA